GUUGACUCCCAUGCAGCGAUCUCACCGGACUGUCACAAAGACCCGACGGUUUUGGGGCUGCUGUUUGCAUCCUCGUCGCUGCAGUGCUGUGGUGGUGGACGAGGGACCGCCAGGCCAGGCCAGGCCAGCCCCCCCCAUCUGGGUCCGGUCAACGAGUAAAGGGGUGUGUUCUGUUCAGUGGGAAGCCCGGACAAGGGGAGCAGGCAGGCAGUGUGACCCACAGUGCCCCGCUCGCCCUCUGCUCUCGUCAGCAGGGUUGGAUCAUCAGCCAUGCGGGCCUUCGCUAUGACAAUGCCCCUACUCCGCUAUGCCGCAGUCCUGCAGGUGUUCUUUGUUUUGGGAAAGUCCAGCACGGCCAGACCGCCCUGUCAUGACCCCAACCUCACCUGUACGUCUACGCUACAUGGAGAGGAGACUGGGGCUGUGUCUGAGCCCAACACUCACUCAACACCCAUCAUCCGAGCGUUACAAAAGCCCGGAAAUCCAAAACUUAGAGGUCAGGCAGCAGCCGAACAGAAACCCGACAGAUUUCCCAUUCAAACGCAGCAAGUCAACUCACGCGGUGUUCAGGGUUCAGAGGUCAGGGUGACUCUUACAGCUGCUGCUGCUGCUGCUGCUGCUGAUGGAGCCGAUUUUGAAGCAAAACCUGUAAUCUCCUCUAUCAGUAAUAGAGACACACCUCCAAGUAGGGAUAAAGACUUGGGAAGAAAAAGGUUUUCACCGAAGGGAGGCAAAGCCCUGAAGCAGAAAAAACAUGGUAGCAGUGCCUCCUAUGAGGCCGAUUCUCUCCUCCCUGCGACUGAUGAGCAGGCUGGAGACGCAAGGCAGCGGCCCUCUCGUUUAAUUACGGAAAAAUCCCAAGCGAAGGACCAGGACUCCUGGGGGGCUGAGGUUCGAGAUACAAACACGACGGCAUCACCACAAGCAUCGACCACCCCUCGACCUCAGAGCCAAGCGAAUGACCCUUCCUCCACCGACGAAGAGGGAUCAACGUUCGCUGAAACGUCUUCGGUGUCUGCUGCUGAGGACCACGAGACGACCAUCUUUAGCACCGUCAUCGAGGUGGAGACCCCCACAGCUUCAGGCCUACAAACCUCUGGUACAGGAGGAGACGGGGAGUCAUCCAGUCAGGAUACGACUUCCUCUAGUGGGCCAGAGGGCUUUCAGAUAGCAACACAAGACACUCAGCUCUACGGCCCAACCAGCGAAUCAGAGUUGUAUGUCUCCUUAAAGGCGGGAACAGGGAACGAGGGUAGCGCUGGUGAGCCGAAGCAGCCAGAGGUAACGCAGUUGGAAACACUCGAAGCACCUUCACCUACGACGUCCUCUGGAGAGGGAGAGCCCAUCUCGGGGGAUGAGAAGGUAAGAGGUAGGGCCUCGGAUGUGCAAACUGGAGCACUGGAUGGUGGGAUUGAUGGGAUGGAUCUGAUGCCAGAGAGAUCUGAGGUGGAUGAACUUGUGCCGCGUGUGAACGUAGAGUACACGUCUUAUCCAACCGAGAUAGCUGUCACAUCUUCUCAUGGUGAGGCACUGAGUGGGGAGGACGUGGAUGGAGAUAUUGGUCUGGAUGCACAGACGGGGAUGAGCGCAGCAGAGAUAGGCCAUGACCAGGUGCUCGAGGUGGGGCCCGACGAGGGCCCCACACCGCCCGGCUGGUCCGGUGCCAGACGUGGAACCGAGGGAGAGACGGAGACAGAUAUCCACGACGAGAAAGGUGAAGCAACACAAUUAGAUUUAGAGGAAGAGAUAGGCUUGGAAAGAGGGAUGGUACCAGAAGAGGAUUUUGACGACAUAGAUAAAGACCAUGAUACCAUGACCCUCGAUGGCAACGCCAGGCAUCUUGUAGAAGCUGAAGGCACCAGGAUGUCUACGGUCCAGCUGGACUCCAGACAUCUGCAGCAGCAGGACAAGGCCGCCAACCACACUUAUCACUACACAACAUACAGUCCUGGGAUCAGAGGCCAGAGGGGACAUCAGGGCCUGCCUGGGUUAACUGGACUUGCUGGACCUAAAGGAGACAAAGGCUAUGAAGGAGGGAUGGGCAGGACAGGGAGGACUGGCUACAGAGGCCCCGUCGGCCCUCCCGGGAUGCCCGCCAUUGUGGUGUUCAAAACGUCUGAAGAAGAGUGGCAGGCCUUCAAGAAAAAGAAGAUCUACAAGAAGCUGGUUUCAUCUUGGCCGAAAGUGAAGGGGCGUCUCGGGCCCCCAGGACCUGCUGAUGACAAAGGACAAAUUGGGCCGCCUGGCAUCACUGGCAAACAAGGAAGGAAAGGAGACCCAGGGAAAAUCGGAGGGCCAGGGACACAGGGGUUGCCAGGAGCCCAGGGAAGAGCUGGCGCAGAGGGGAUCCCCGGACAAAAUGCAGAGGCUGGCCCUCCCGGCCUUCCAGGAGAACAGG
ensembl:lncRNA